AACUUUUGACGGUGGAUCUCUUGGCUCACGCAUCGAUGAAGAACGCAGCCAGCUGCGAUAAGUAGUGUGAAUUGCAGAAUUCAGUGAAUCAUCGAAUCUUUGAACGCAAAUGGCGCUCUUGGGUUCUCCCAGGAGCAUGUCUGUCUGAGUGUCGGAUUGGUCAUAGAUC
rnacentral:rRNA from 1 species